UUAAGUUAUUAAGGGCGCACGGUGGAUGCCUUGGCACUAGAAGCCGAUGAAGGACGUUACUAACGACGAUAUGCUUUGGGGAGCUGUAAGUAAGCUUUGAUCCAGAGAUUUCCGAAUGGGGAAACCCAGCAUGAGUUAUGUCAUGUUAUCGAUAUGUGAAUACAUAGCAUAUCAGAAGGCACACCCGGAGAACUGAAACAUCUUAGUACCCGGAGGAAGAGAAAGAAAAUUCGAUUCCCUUAGUAGCGGCGAGCGAAACGGGAAGAGCCCAAACCAACAAGCUUGCUUGUUGGGGUUGUAGGACACUCUAUACGGAGUUACAAAGGACGACAUUAGACGAAUCAUCUGGAAAGAUGAAUCAAAGAAGGUAAUAAUCCUGUAGUCGAAAAUGUUGUCUCUCUUGAGUGGAUCCUGAGUACGACGGAGCACGUGAAAUUCCGUUGGAAUCUGGGAGGACCAUCUCCUAAGGCUAAAUACUCUCUAGUGACCGAUAGUGAACCAGUACCGUGAGGGAAAGGUGAAAAGCACCCCGGAAGGGGAGUGAAAUAGAACCUGAAACCGUGUGCUUACAAGUAGUCAGAGCCCGUUAAUGGGUGAUGGCGUGCCUUUUGUAGAAUGAACCGGCGAGUUACGAUUUGAUGCAAGGUUAAGCAGUAAAUGUGGAGCCGUAGCGAAAGCGAGUCUGAAUAGGGCGUUUAGUAUUUGGUCGUAGACCCGAAACCAGGUGAUCUACCCUUGGUCAGGUUGAAGUUCAGGUAACACUGAAUGGAGGACCGAACCGACUUACGUUGAAAAGUGAGCGGAUGAACUGAGGGUAGCGGAGAAAUUCCAAUCGAACCUGGAGAUAGCUGGUUCUCUCCGAAAUAGCUUUAGGGCUAGCCUCAAGUGAUGAUUAUUGGAGGUAGAGCACUGUUUGGACGAGGGGCCCCUCUCGGGUUACCGAAUUCAGACAAACUCCGAAUGCCAAUUAAUUUAACUUGGGAGUCAGAACAUGGGUGAUAAGGUCCGUGUUCGAAAGGGAAACAGCCCAGACCACCAGCUAAGGUCCCAAAAUAUAUGUUAAGUGGAAAAGGAUGUGGCGUUGCCCAGACAACUAGGAUGUUGGCUUAGAAGCAGCCAUCAUUUAAAGAGUGCGUAAUAGCUCACUAGUCGAGUGACACUGCGCCGAAAAUGUACCGGGGCUAAACAUAUUACCGAAGCUGUGGAUUGUCCUUUGGACAAUGGUAGGAGAGCGUUCUAAGGGCGUUGAAGCAUGAUCGUAAGGACAUGUGGAGCGCUUAGAAGUGAGAAUGCCGGUGUGAGUAGCGAAAGACGGGUGAGAAUCCCGUCCACCGAUUGACUAAGGUUUCCAGAGGAAGGCUCGUCCGCUCUGGGUUAGUCGGGUCCUAAGCUGAGGCCGACAGGCGUAGGCGAUGGAUAACAGGUUGAUAUUCCUGUACCACCUAUAAUCGUUUUAAUCGAUGGGGGGACGCAGUAGGAUAGGCGAAGCGUGCGAUUGGAUUGCACGUCUAAGCAGUAAGGCUGAGUAUUAGGCAAAUCCGGUACUCGUUAAGGCUGAGCUGUGAUGGGGAGAAGACAUUGUGUCUUCGAGUCGUUGAUUUCACACUGCCGAGAAAAGCCUCUAGAUAGAAAAUAGGUGCCCGUACCGCAAACCGACACAGGUAGUCAAGAUGAGAAUUCUAAGGUGAGCGAGCGAACUCUCGUUAAGGAACUCGGCAAAAUGACCCCGUAACUUCGGGAGAAGGGGUGCUCUUUAGGGUUAACGCCCAGAAGAGCCGCAGUGAAUAGGCCCAAGCGACUGUUUAUCAAAAACACAGGUCUCUGCUAAACCGUAAGGUGAUGUAUAGGGGCUGACGCCUGCCCGGUGCUGGAAGGUUAAGAGGAGUGGUUAGCUUCUGCGAAGCUACGAAUCGAAGCCCCAGUAAACGGCGGCCGUAACUAUAACGGUCCUAAGGUAGCGAAAUUCCUUGUCGGGUAAGUUCCGACCCGCACGAAAGGCGUAACGAUUUGGGCACUGUCUCAACGAGAGACUCGGUGAAAUCAUAGUACCUGUGAAGAUGCAGGUUACCCGCGACAGGACGGAAAGACCCCGUGGAGCU
rnacentral:rRNA from 1 species